rnacentral:lncRNA from 1 species
AUCUGUUACCGUGAGGUCACCUUGGUGAGAACCUAUCACGUAAAUCCUUCCACCCAACAGCUGCUUGGUCUAUCCACAAAAUGGACUGUAGGAUUGGUUCUGUCAUGUAGUGGUGUAACCAUCCCAAGACCAUAGUAUUGCACCUCUCCCAUGCUCCAUAGAAUAGGUCCAAAAGACUUGGUUGGCUUAGAGAACAGUCAACAAAUUUCAGCUUGUUCUUUGAAAUGAGAGAUAAUUUCAUGCUUCUGGCCCAUGAAUGGUAGUUUUUCCCGUCCAGAGGAGGUGAUACUAAAACCAGUGAUGGGUUGUCAUUUGGGUGGAGGUAAUAGGGAUUAGAG